rnacentral:rRNA from 1 species
UACAGAGGGGGCAAGCGUUAUUCGGAAUUAUUGGGCGUAAAGGGCGCGUAGGCGGCAUGGCAAGUGGAUGGUGAAAUCCCUCGGCUUAACCGAGGAACUGCCGUCCAAACUGCUUCGCUUGAGACCGGGAGAGGGAUGCGGAAUUCCAGGUGUAGCGGUGAAAUGCGUAGAUAUCUGGAGGAACACCGGUGGCGAAGGCGGCAUCCUGGACCGGCAUUGACGCUGAUGAGCGAAAGCCAGGGGAGCAAACGGG